UGACUUGGCCUACAGAACAGUACAAUACAACUUUUGUGCAGAAUAUAAUUUAAGAUAACCAAACGAGAAUUAAAUCAAGCUAGAUAACUGACAGAUGCUUGCACAAGGCUUCCUGUUCUUUGUACACAUGCUCAUAUAGACGUUUGAACGCUUGUACAAAGCAUGCAUAAUCGAAAUACUAUCAAGCAUCAAGCUGCUUGUACAGUCCUAAUGCUUGUGCAGAUUUUUUGUACACACGCGUAAGCAUGUUUGGGCCAGUACACUUCCUUGCUUGUCGAACAUGUAGUUAUUGGUGUGGGGUCACAUUAAAACGUAAUCCGAGUAUGACGUAAAUCUGAGUAAUGUUGCAAACCCCUUGAAGAAAUUUGCAACUGUUUUGCCAUAGAAAAGUUUGUAGAACUGCAUUUUACAGCAUCGAAAUUGUACUGGAUCGUACGCAAGGAUGUUAAUGGAAUGUGAAAUAAUAGUUUGGCACGUGCGUAUGAGUUUUGUUGGUAUAUAAUGGAUCAUUGUGCUGCAGCAUUUUGUAUAACUAGGCUAGCGACUAGAAGAUACAGCGAAUCACGCGUUUUACUGUUUUUGUGCCUUACAAUGAUGUUUGGUUUGUGUUCCACGAACUGUACUGAGCUUGAAAACCAUUAGUACUGACAACUUUUUGUUGUGCCAAUCAGCGACUCAGCAUCUCCGCUCUAUGUUACAGAAGCGCACACCUAAUUUUAGAUUCGAUGAAGACACAUUUUGGAGGGUGUCAUGAUUCCUGCAGAAUGUCAAAUGAAAAUUUUUGCAUAUGUGCUAUCGAAAGUGAAGAGUUGGUAGCGAAACAGAAUACCAAGUGGAGAAAGACGAUUGCACCAAAUUUUCGACUUGCCAGUACCCUCAGAUUUCUGGCCAGCAGGAGACAGUUUUAAAAGCCUUCAGUACCUAAUUACAGUUUCGUCACAGAUUUUUUUCGAGUAUAGGUCCAGAGGUUUGCAGUGACACUAUUAAAGUGCUGCAAGGAAAUGGAAAGAUGCCAAAAACAUGGACAGAAUGGACGAGAGUUGCAACAACAUGUGAAAAUCUUUGAAAUUUUCUCCAUUUUGCAUUGGUGCCCCUGGAUAGACACUGUAGCUGUACAGGCCCCUGCUAACAUGGAUGUGAAUUUUAGUUAUAAACACAGCACAAAUACAUUUGGGCUAUUGGUCAAUGUAUUUAAAGUGCUUCGGAAACCAAUGCUGCUUCAG